GCAAAAAACCUUCAACAAAUGACCAAAAUAGCCAUAUCAACUCCUUAUAAAUUGGUUAAGAAAUAUAAAUUAUGUGAAAUGAGUAAUAAAACAAGUAAUUAAAUAAUAAAGCUAAAUAAAGUGUCAUGUGCGAUGAAUGUGACAGAGAUUAAAACCAUGUAAAAAACUUUAAGAGAUAAGGAGUAGCUCCUCUUGGGACAUGAUCUUGGAGCCUGUAGCCACAAUGUAAGCCCAGCUACACAGAGGCUGUGAUGUGUAAAGAAUGUGUGAAGAGAUCACGUGGAGAGAGACAAAGAUAGACAGAGCUGGGGAGAGAGGGCAGGAGACAGAGAGAGAGGGACAGACCAGUAGAGAGCUCAAGCUCAAGGAAGCCCAGAGUUCCAGCCUCUAGAUGCGUGAUGUGCCCCAGUCCAGACACCAGACAUGGGAGUGAAGAAGCCUGAAAGACAGCCCUAGCCACCAUCUCACUACAAAAGCAUAAGAGACCCCAAGUGAGAACCACCUGGCUGAGCCCCACUGAUCUGCAGAUUCUAAGCAAGAUAUACAAUGGUCAUCGUUUGAAGCCCCUGCAUAUGGAUUGCUUGUCACAGAGCUGAAGACAGCCAGAGCAGACUUGCAUACCUGGGAGUGGAGUGCUAAUUCACAAAGCCCAAGACUUGUGAGUGAGAUGGUGGCUCUGCAAGCAGGAGCUUCUCUCCAGCUGACGGCAGAAGAGGAAGUUGGAGGGAUGCGCUCUGGUGAGCCUGGCAGAACGCCCAUAUCUGUGCUGCAAACUUCCCUCCAGGACCACUUGACAAGGAACCGUGGGCAUCAUUCAAGGAGCUGAGAGCUAAUGGAAGAACAGACGCUUCAGCCCCACACCCGCGCAGAGAUGAAUUCUGCCAGCAACACUGCACUUGGAAGAGGACCCUGAUCCCCCAUGAGAACCUGGCCCUGGCCCCAUGAGUCCCUGUGCAGAGAACCUGUCAGCCUGGGCCUGGACUCAGGACCCAAGGAGACUGUGAGAUAAUAAAUAGGUGUUGUUCUAAGCCACUAAUUUGUUGUAAUUUGUUCCAAAGCAGAAAUUGGAAUGAGGACACUAUUCGGCUCCAGAAACGUGUCACUCCCUAUGGAAGAAGAAGGGUUACUCCGAGCCCAGAGGGUGAAGCCAGAAUGGGCCCUAGUCUGUGGACUGUGAGUGUCUGAUGCAUCUCCACGUGAUAUGGACCAGGAACUGCUGUGCCCACUCCCCCAUUUCUCCCUUUUUCAGCUUGAGAGUUUAUUGGGGCCAUCUUAUUUCUGCCCUGCAGUUGUAAGUUAAGUGAGUGAGGGACAGAGACACUGCCUCUUCUGUGGUUUUCGUUUCUCUCCAGAUGGAGAGAAACUAGAUCUGAGGAACCUCAAGCCAGAAACCUCACCUGUAUCGCAAACUGAUUCAGGCAAUAAUGAGGCUUUGGGGGAAUUUGGCAGGGGUGGAUACCAUUUUCAUGCGGGAGGAACGUACAUGAUUUGUGGCCAGAUGUCUGACUCUGGUGACUUAAAAUCCUGUCUGGAAAUUCUCUAACAUCCCACCCAAUAUGAGGUGGUCUCUGUCUCCUCCCUCAGCUCUAGAGGUUGGGGGGCCUCCUAACUGCUCCCAGAUAGAAGAAAUGGUGCUGUGUUUGAGGAGGCCACAUCCCUGCCAGCUUCCCUUGUCACCCUCUUUCUCCUUUAGCCAUGCAAGAAGCAUCCCCAGUCUGAGUUCACCAAAUGGAGAGGUUACCUGGGGUCCCUGGAGAGAGAGAGAGUAAGGAGGCCCCUCUACCUCAGCAGCCCUGAGCCUUCUUAAUCCAGGAUGAGAAUGGGGGGUUAGGGUGACAUUGAGAAGACCCUGACCCCCGCCACCGUCUUAUGCAACAGCGAAUGCAGAAUGAAAACAGCCUCGCUGAGCCUUGCUAGGCCUCACACUCAAGAGCAAAAUCAGUGAUCUCUAUUUUUUAAAUGAAAAAUCAAAGUCGAGGAGUGACAAUUAGACAAUUGAACUGUCACCUAAGAGGAUUUCCAGCAUAUCGAAGACAUGGAAGGGGAGGAUCCCAUUGAACAGGAGAAAGACCUACUGCUUAAACUGAAAUGACAUUCAAAGUGUAAGCCAAAAAAAAAAAUUCAGGGGGACAUGUUGAGCUAUAUUUCGGUGAGAAUUCUGGUCUCUAAGGAUAAAAGAAAACAUCCUUUGCUCCCUGGCUCCAUCAGGAACAAGGAGGCAGACAGGCUGUGCCAUUCCUUCUUCACUGGCACCUGUUCCCAUGCCACACCUCCGUCCUGAGCAGGUUUUGUUUACUGGGGGACAUCAUCAAUUAUUUUGGAUAGGAUAUCAUUGCAGAAAUCUCCUUUCAGUCUUUGCAUCUUCAUUCAUGCUUUAAAAACAAGACAGGCUCAAUCACUGGUAGAAAAAUAGAGCAAUAAGAAAAUGAAAAUUGGAUAAAAUUAAUUUCCCUUAUUGGAGGCACCUGGGCAUGGCCACCAGGUUUUCCCCAGAAACGCUGGGAGAGGGUCUCUGCCCAGACCCCAGGCGAAGAGCAGAGCCAAACCUUCUCUGCAUUGCAUUUGCCUCCUUAUCUCUCAGCUCUUUCCCUGUGGCUAAGCCUAGAGCCCCUCUGACUUCUCCCCCAUUUGUGGGGCCUCAGGGGCUGGGCUUUCCUCUCCCUUUACUCCAUUUCCUAACUUUCUAUCCUGUGUUAUAGUAAAACUAUGAUAGGCGUAAGCAGAUUUUAUCUUAAAAUCCUAUUGGAGCCAAGAAAUUUAGAAUACC
rnacentral:lncRNA from 1 species